rnacentral:rRNA from 1 species
CCCCAAAGCCAUCCGAUGCAGACAGCACCGGUUCUCGUCCGAUCACCGAAGUUAAGCAACAUCGAGCCUAGUUAGUACUUAGAUGGGUGACCACUUGGGAAACCUAGGUGCUGUAAGUG